GACGAACGCUGGCGGCGUGCCUAAUACAUGCAAGUAGAACGCUGAAGGAGGAGCUUGCUUCUCCGGAUGAGUUGCGAACGGGUGAGUAACGCGUAGGUAACCUGCCUGGUAGCGGGGGAUAACUAUUGGAAACGAUAGCUAAUACCGCAUAAGAGUAGAUGUUGCAUGACAUUUGCUUAAAAGGUGCAAUUGCAUCACUACCAGAUGGACCUGCGUUGUAUUAGCUAGUUGGUGGGGUAACGGCUCACCAAGGCGACGAUACAUAGCCGACCUGAGAGGGUGAUCGGCCACACUGGGACUGAGACACGGCCCAGACUCCUACGGGAGGCAGCAGUAGGGAAUCUUCGGCAAUGGACGGAAGUCUGACCGAGCAACGCCGCGUGAGUGAAGAAGGUUUACGGAUCGUAAAGCUCGGUUGUAAGAGAAGAACGAGUGUGAGAGUGGAAAGUUCACACUGUGACGGUAUCUUACCAGAAAGGGACGGCUAACUACGUG
rnacentral:rRNA from 1 species